GACGAACGCUGGCGGCGUGCUUAACACAUGCAAGUCGAACGGCAAGGCCCUGCUUUUGUGCGGUGCUCGAGUGGCGAACGGGUGAGUAACACGUGAGUAACCUGCCCUUGACUUUGGGAUAACUUCAGGAAACUGGGGCUAAUCCCGUAUAGGAGCUCCUGCUGCAUGGUGGGGGGUGGAAAGUUACGGCGGUUGGGGAUGGACUAGCGGCUUAUCAGCUUGUUGGUUGGGUAGUGGCUUACCAAGGCUGUGACGGGUCGCCGGCCUGGGAGGGUGAACGGCCACAAUGGGACUGAGAUACGGCCCAGACUGGUACGGGAGGCAGCAGGGGGGAAUAUUGUACAAUGGGAGGAAGCCUGAUGCAGCAACGCCGGGUGCGGGAAGACGGCCUUCGGGUUGUAAACCGCUUUCGGCUGAGACGAAGCGUGAGUGACGGUAAUGGGUGAAGAAGCACCGGCUAACUACGUG
rnacentral:rRNA from 1 species